AGGACGAACGCUGGCGGCGUGCUUAACACAUGCAAGUCGAGCGGAAAGGCCCUUCGGGGUACUCGAGCGGCGAACGGGUGAGUAACACGUGAGCAACCUGCCCUUGGCUCUGGGAUAGCCUCCGGAAACGGGGAUUAAUACCGGACAUUCACUGAUCCCUGCAUGGGGGAUGGUGGAAAGUUUUUUCGGCCAGGGAGGGGCUUGCGGCCUAUCAGCUUGUUGGCGGGGUAACGCCCACCAAGGCGACGACGGGUA
rnacentral:rRNA from 1 species